rnacentral:lncRNA from 1 species
CCUGAGAAUGAAGACAUGUUUAUUCUCUUCUGUGAUGGAGAACAAAUUGCCACCAACAGAUGAAAGAGCAAAUUAAAGUUAAGAUAAUUAGUGCAUCGGAGCUCUGAUGGUCGUGUAAAUUGAACAUCUGGUUUGGAUCUGCUUUUUUAUGGAUGAACCUUUAUGCUUUCAACUAUCAGAAAAUUCAUGGAGCAAAUUUAUGUUCUUCUUUUCAUUUGUAACCUGCAUGGAAAGUCACCAAGUUUUUUUUUUUUCUAGGAGCAUGUGA